AUUGUAUUUAUAUACCCUGUUUUGUUUAUCUGACUAUCCAUCAAUGAACACUUGGGUUGCUUCUUCUACCUUUUGGCUGUUGUGAACAAUGCUGCUUUGAACAUGGGUGUACAGAUAUCCUUUCAAGUCCUUGCUUCUAAUUCUUUUGGGUAUAUAUACAGAAGUGGAAUUGCUGGGUCAUAUAGCAAUUCUUGCAUGUUAUGAAAACCU